ensembl:lncRNA PMCHL2 pro-melanin concentrating hormone like 2 (pseudogene)
AGUAUUCUCAGACCACUUCUACCAAAACAUAAAUCUGUGAUUGUGAUCUCUGAAAGUCAGUCCUUUUAUCUACUCAAAAGAAGACACUAAGGUUUUCAGAAAUUAAAUUGCUUUUUGGAAAAGGUGGGAGAUUCUGGGAACAUAGAAACUUGAAUCCAGUUUUCUUCAACUCCACGUCAAGACAGUUGCAUUGUGUGAGAAAAUAGCUACGGCCAUUUGUGGUAAAAUCACAUAUAUGCAAUUAUGUGAAACUAAUUGUGUAUAUGUAUCUGUGUAUGUGUGCGUGUACAAUAUAUAAACUAUCAAUAUUUAUCAAAGUCCGUAUAGCUGCUAGCAAUGAGGGGGAUCUAGGAUUCUAUCACAUGAUACCUUUUUAUGAGGCCUUUGUUCUUUCCAGUACAUUUGUCAGCUCGUUCAUGAAAGAGAUUCUUAAUUAUUUACUGAAAUAUCACAAAAGUGAUGGUGAGCUAGGUUGCCACAUUGAUCCUGAUAGGUCCUUGACAAAUUCAUAUUGACUCUCCACAAAUAAAACUAUAAGGCAGUUUUUCCCAUUGUGAUGCUUUUGUCUACAAUCUUAAUUGUUAACUCUUCCAAAGAAUAAACACACAAUAUAUCAAUUUUUUAACCCAUUUAGGUAGAAAUAUGGGUAUAUAGAAAGGAAGAAAGCAAGGUUAACGGUGAGCAGUGGCUAAAUGAACAAGAGAACAUUCAGUUAAGUAUUUCAUCUCCAAAAUGGUAUAAACUGUGGCAGAAAGUACUUUGUUGAAUCAAUAGUUUCGAGACAGACAUACAGUAGGGACAUCGAAGGUACAAAAUAGAGCACUGAUGAAGGAGUG